rnacentral:rRNA from 1 species
GACAGAGGGUGCAAACGUUGUUCGGAAUUACUGGGCGUAAAGCGCGUGUAGGCGGCCCUGCAAGUCGGGUGUGAAAUCCCACGGCUCAACCGUGGAAGUGCACUCGAAACUGCAGGGCUAGAGUCCUGGAGAGGAAGGUGGAAUGCUUGGUGUAGAGGUGAAAUUCGUAGAUAUCAAGCGGAACACCGGUGGCGAAGGCGGCCUUCUGGACAGUGACUGACGCUGAGACGUGAAAGCGUGGGGAGCGAACAGG